GGAUGCAAACACUAGAGUCCCCGGCCGGGAGGAACAUCAAGUGAAGUGGUAUUAUAAGCAUCGGAGCAGCAGUAAAUCAUGCAUGCAGACAGCCUAUUGCCCGGUAGCUAGAUUCCAUGGGUCCGAGAAGGAAGAUCAGUCGGCACAAUGAAACCUUGCGCCACUGUAAACAAGAAUGGCCCACAUAGAGAAGGAGAGACCUGACGGUAGAAAAUUUAUCCACAUUAACACGACCAACACCUACCGUCAAAUAUGCUGACGGUAACCUGUACAAUCAUAUCGUCAAGGUGUCCGGCGACAGGUGCCAACCCGCAUUGUUUUUUAUGUUUAUUUAUUUAUUUACGAUAGGACGUGCAACCCUACCGCGAGGGUCCUUGACGGUAGGUUGUUAUACAUACAUAUAUAUACAAUUACAAUGGGGACAGAUUUAUUGACUGGUACCUGGUUGUUCAUAUACUCCCUCCGAUUCAAAGUUUUUCUGAAGAUUUCACUAAAAGCUACAUACAUGUGUAUAUAACAUACUUUAAAAUAUAGGUUCACUCAUUUUUCUUCGUGUG
rnacentral:lncRNA from 1 species